rnacentral:rRNA from 1 species
UGGGGAAUUUUGCACAAUGGGGGAAACCCUGAUGCAGCGACGCCGCGUGAUUUAGAAGGCCUUCGGGUUGUAAAAAUCUUUUCUAUGGGAAGAAAAUGACAGUACCAUAGGAAUAAGGACCGGCUAAUUACGUGCCAGCAGCCGCGGUAAUACGUAAGGUCCGAGCGUUGUCCGGAAUCAUUGGGCGUAAAGGGUACGUAGGCGGGUAAGCAAGUUAGAAGUGAAAUCCUAUAGCUCAACUAUAGUAAGCUUUUAAAACUGCUCAUCUUGAGGUAUGGAAGGGAAAGUGGAAUUCCUAGUGUAGCGGGGAAAUGCGCAGAUAUUAGGAGGAAUACCGGUGGCGAAGGCGACUUUCUGGCCAUAAACUGACGCUGAGGUACGAAAGCGUGGGUAGCAAACAGG